rnacentral:rRNA from 1 species
GAUGAACGCUGGCGGCGUGCCUAAUACAUGCAAGUCGGGCGAACGGACGAGAAGCUUGCUUCUCUGAUGUUAGCGGCGGACGGGUGAGUAACACGUGGAUAACCUACCUAUAAGACUGGGAUAACUUCGGGAAACCGGAGCUAAUACCGGAUAAUAUUUUGAACCGCAUGGUUCAAAAGUGAAAGACGGUCUUGCUGUCACUUAUAGAUGGAUCCGCGCUGCAUUAGCUAGUUGGUAAGGUAACGGCUUACCAAGGCAACGAUGCAUAGCCGACCUGAGAGGGUGAUCGGCCACACUGGAACUGAGACACGGUCCAGCCUCCUACGGGAGGCAGAAGCAGGGAAUCUUCCGAAAUGGGCGAAAGCCUGCAGGAGCAACGCCGCGUGGGUGAUGAAGGUCUGCGGACCGUAAAACUCUGUUAUUAGGGAAGAACAUAUUUGUAAGUAACUGUGCACAUUUUGACGGUACCUAAUAAGAAAGCACCGGCUAACUACGUG